rnacentral:rRNA from 1 species
GAGCUUUUUCUAUUUUAAUAGAAGUGACAAUAUACCUUUUGCAUAAUGGGUCAAUGAGUUUAUUUGUGAAGCAAGUUUUUUCUUAAUAAAGUGAGACUUAGUGAGAACGAGAACAUGACUUUUUAGUUUUACAAAUAAGACCCGAAACCAAGUGAUCUAUUCAUGACCAGGUUGAAGAUUUUUUUGAAUUGGAGGACCGAACUCGUGUAUGCUGCAAAAUACUGAGAUGAGUUGUGGAUAGGGGUGAAAGGCCAAUCAAACUCGGAGAUAGCUGGUUCUCCUCGAAAUUUAUGGAGGUAAAGUGUUAUUUUAGGUUGUUUUUUUUGUAAAGCACUUUGUCAAUGAUGGGGUAUAGUUCCUACUGAUUUGAUAAAAACUUUGAAUAUAAAGAACAAUUCGAAAUAGCAAUCGGAAUUAAGGUGAGAAGGUCUUAACUCAAAAGGGAAACAGCCCAGAUCAUCAAUUAAGGCUUCUUAUUUUUUUUUAAUAGGGACGAGAAGUAAAUAAGUAAUGUUUAGGAUGUAGGCUUAGAAGCAGCCAUCCUUUAAAGAAAGCGUAAAUGCUCACUAAAUUUCUUUAUUUGCUUCGAAAAUAUAAUGAGACUGAAAAAAUAAGCCGAAAUUGUGAAAUUCUUGCAAAUAAGAAUUGGUAGCGGAAUGUUUUGUUUUUCUCAGAAUAACAAAUUCAUUAAAUUUGUUGUAGGAAUCAAAAGCAAGAAUGUUGAUAUGAGUAACUUAAAAUCGUGUGAGAAACGCGAUCACCGAAAGUCCAAGGGUUUCUGGUAGAAGGAAAGUCCUUUGAAGAAUGAGACGAUUUCUUAUGCUGAAUUCCAAUGUGAAUGUUGAAUGAAAAAUAACAUAUAACAAUUGUUUUCCUCAGUUCAAAUAAAGACGGACUUUUGUAAUUUUAUUGAACGUGUGUUCUGUAGAUUCCAAAGUUCCUGGAAAAAUUUUUGAAAAAAAAAAUUUUUUUUGAGAUCGUACCCGAAACCGACACAGGUGGACAGGUAGAGAAUACUAAGGUGAUUGGGGUUAUCAUGUUGAAGGAACUCGGCAAAAUGGCACCGUAACUUCGGGAGAAGAAGUGUAUAUAAGGGUAAUAUCUUUUAUAUAUGAGACAUAACAGGGAGGAACGACUGUUUUCCAAAAACACAGGACCUAGCUAAGUUUAACGAAUGAAGUAUUAGGUCUGACGCCUGUCCGGUGCUGAAUUUUCGAAAGAAAAUAGCCCUUUCAUAAUAGCUAUUUUUAUAAGAACCAGUAAACGACGGUCCUAUUUUGAGGAUCCAAAGGUAGCGAAAUUCCUUGUCAUUUAAUUGAUGACCCGCAUGAAUGGCGUAACGAUUCCUCCACUGUCUCCAACAUGAACUCAGUGAAAUUCAAAUGUCUGUGAAAAUGCAGACACCUCGCAGUAAGACGGAAAGACCCUAUGCACCUUGACUAUAUCCAUUUAUUGAAUUAAGCUUUUUUUAUGCAUAGGAUACGCUUGUUUUUUUUAAAGUUUUGAAAAUGAUUCUUGUAAUAAAGCGCAUAAAAUUACUUUUUUCGAUGAAAACCGACAGGUUUUACUCAAGUAAAUGGGAGGUAGUUUGACUGGGGCGGUUGUCACCUAAAUGGUAACGGUGAUGCACAAAGGCGUUUUUCAAUGAUUAUUUCAUUUUAAAGUGUAAUAGCAAAAGUUCGCUUGAUUUGUAAACGAUCGCGUUUAUGAAAGAUGAGAGAAUCUGUUAUAGUGAUCCGGUCGCUCAAAGUGGAAGGGCCAUCGCUCAACGGAUAAAAGGUACUCCGGGGAUAACAGGCUUAUCUCCCCCAAGAGUUCACAUCGACGGGGAGGUUUGGCACCUCGAUGUCGGCUCAUCACAUCCUGGGGCUGGAGCAGGUCCCAAGGGUUUGGCUGUUCGCCAUUUAAAGUGGUACGCGAGCUGGGUUUAGAACGUCGUGAGACAGUUCGGUCCCUAUCUACUGCGAGUGAAAGAAAAAGAUGUGUGAACUCUUUUUUAGUACGAAAGGACUAAAGAGAGCAUGCCGAUUGUGUUCCGAUUGUUGAAUGACCAGCAGUGUCGGGUAGCUACGCAUGUGUGAGCUAAUUUCUGAUGGUAUCAAAGAAAGAAUCCCGCACGCAUUUUUUUCUUAGAGAAUCGUGAUAAAAGCUCACGUAAUAAUAGGUUUGGUGUGUGAACUAAGUUAUUGGUGAAGCUAACAAAUACUAAUAUUUCGAAAAUAUUUUUUCU